rnacentral:rRNA from 1 species
AGCAGCCGCGGUAAUUCCAGCUCCAAUAGCGUAUAUUAAAGUUGCUGCAGUUAAAAAGCUCGUAGUUGAAUUUCGGGAUCAAUAUGUUGGUCGUGCCUUGGUGCGUACUAGUUUAUUGAUUUCUCCCUUCUGACGAACUAUGAUGCCAUUAAUUUGGUGUCAUGGGGAAUCAGGACUGUUACUUUGAAAAAUUAGAGUGUUUAAAGCAGGCUCACGCUUGAAUACAUUAGCAUGGAAUAAUAAAAUAGGACGUUUGAUUCUAUUUUGUUGGUUUCUAGGAUCGACGUAAUGAUUAAUAGGGAUAGUUGGGGGCAUUAGUAUUCAAUUGUCAGAGGUGAAAUUCUUGGAUUUAUUGAAGACUAACUACUGCGAAAGCAUUUGCCAAGGAUGUUUUCAUUAAUCAAGAACGAAAGUUAGGGGAUCGAAGACGAUCAGAUACCGUCGUAGUCUUAACCAUAAACUAUGCCGACUAGGGAUCGGAUGAUGUAAUUUUUAAUGA